GUGAGGAAUAUUGGUCAAUGGGCGGAAGCCUGAACCAGCCAUGCCGCGUGCAGGAAGGAGGCCCUACGGGUUGUAAACUGCUUUUACCCGGGAAGAAACCGCCCCCUGUGGGGGGCGUUGCCGGUACCGGGGGAAAAAGGAUCGGCUAACUCCGUGCCAGCAGCCGCGGUAAUACGGAGGAUCCGGGCGUUAUCCGGAAUUACUGGGUUUAAAGGGUGCGUAGGCGGGGCUUUAAGCCGGCGGUGAAAUGCAGCGGCUCAACCGCUGGAAUGCCGUUGGGACUGGGGCUCUUGGAUACGGUCGGGGCGGGUGGAACUCGUGGUGUAGCGGUGAAAUGCAUAGAUAUCACGAGGAACGCCGGUAGCGAAGGCAGCUCGCCGGGCCGGUAUUGACGCUGAGGCACGAAAGCGUGGGGAUCGAACAGGAUUAGAAACCCUGGUAGUCC
rnacentral:rRNA from 1 species